rnacentral:rRNA from 1 species
GGUGCAUGGUUGUCGUCAGCUCGUGUCGUGAGAUGUUGGGUUAAGUCCCGCAACGAGCGCAACCCCUAUCUUCAGUAGCCAGCAUUUGAGGUGGGCACUCUGGAGAGACUGCCAGGGACAACCUGGAGGAAGGUGGGGACGACGUCAAAUCAUCAUGCCCCUUAUGGGCAGGGCUACACACGUGCUACAAUGGCGUAAACAAAGGGAGGCGAAGCCGCGAGGCCGAGCAAAUCCCAAAAAUAACGUCCCAGUUCGGAUUGCAGUCUGCAACUCGACUGCAUGAAGCUGGAAUCGCUAGUAAUCGCGAAUCAGAAUGUCGCGGUGAAUACGUUCCCGGGUCUUGUACACACCGCCCGUCACACCAUGGGAGUUGGUAACGCCCGAAGUCAGUGACCCAACCGGAAGGAGGGAGCUGCCGAAGGCGGGACCGGUAACUGGGGUGAAGUCGUAACAAGGUAGCCGUAUCGGAAGGUGCGGUUGGAUCACCUCCUU